rnacentral:rRNA from 1 species
GACGAACGCUGGCGGCGUGCCUAAUACAUGCAAGUUGAGCGCUGAAGGUUGGUACUUGUACCAACUGGAUGAGCAGCGAACGGGUGAGUAACGCGUGGGGAAUCUGCCUUUGAGCGGGGGACAACAUUUGGAAACGAAUGCUAAUACCGCAUAAAAACUUUAAACACAAGGUUUAAGUUUGAAAGAUGCAAUUGCAUCACUCAAAGAUGAUCCCGCGUUGUAUUAGCUAGUUGGUGAGGUAAAGGCUCACCAAGGCGAUGAUACAUAGCCGACCUGAGAGGGUGAUCGGCCACAUUGGGACUGAGACACGGCCCAAACUCCUACGGGAGGCAGCAGUAGGGAAUCUUCGGCAAUGGACGAAAGGCUGACCGAGCAACGCCGCGGGAGUGAAGAAGGUUUUCGGAUCGUAAAACUCUGUUGGUAGAGAAGAACGUUGGUGAGAGUGGAAAGCUCAUCAAGUGACGGUAACUACCCAGAAAGGGACGGCUAACUACGUG